rnacentral:rRNA from 1 species
GCAGUCGAACGGCAAGUUUGGUAGCAAUAUCGAACCUAGAGCGACGUACGGGUGCGUAACACGUAUGCAACCUACCCUUUACAGGAGGAUAGCUCGGGGAAACUCGAAUUAACCCUCCAUAAGAUCAUAGAAUGGCAUCAUUUAGUGAUUAAAACUCAGGUGGUAAAGGAUGGGCAUGCGUCUGAUUAGUUAGUUGGCGGGGUAACGGCCCACCAAGACGAUGAUCAGUAGGGGACCUGAGAGGGUGAUCCCCCACACUGGCACUGAGAUACGGGCCAGACUCCUACGGGAGGCAGCAGUAGGGAAUAUUGGUCAAUGGAUGCAAGUCUGAACCAGCCAUGCCGCGUGCAGGAAGAAGGCCUUCUGGGUUGUAAACUGCUUUUACCAGGGGAUAAAAAUCUCAUGCGUGAGAAAUUGAAGGUACCUGGUGAAUAAGCCACGGCUAACUACGUGCCAGCAGCCGCGGUAAUACGUAGGUGGCAAGCGUUGUCCGGAUUUAUUGGGUUUAAAGGGUGCGUAGGCGGCCCUGUAAGUCAGUGGUGAAAUACUCUAGCUUAACUAGAGGGGUGCCAUUGAUACUGCAGGGCUUGAGUACAGAUGAGGUAGGCGGAAUUGACGGUGUAGCGGUGAAAUGCAUAGAUAUCGUCAAGAACUCCGAUAGCGAAGGCAGCUUACUAAGCUGUAACUGACGCUGAGGCAC